rnacentral:tRNA from 1 species
GCUUGGGAUAUAGCUCAGUGGUAGAGCACUUGCUUAAGCUUGCACAAAGCCCUGGGUUUAAUCCCCAGUACCAGCA